rnacentral:lncRNA from 1 species
UUCUCUUCUCUCUCACUCAAACUUUCCCAUCCAAAGCCGCUGCUGCCACCAAUGAACAGCACUCGCCGGCGCCGCUACAGGUCCGUGGAGACCCUCCACUUACAGGUAAGCUCUUUAGAUGGGUCUUUUUUUUUGGGGGGCAUUUUGCUUAAAUUUGUCACUUGCUCUAUUAUGUUUUUGGAUAUCAAUAUUAGUAGUAUUAUUGUCUUUUUAUGUGCUCUUUUUUGUUUAUUGAAAAACAAGUGUUGUAUUAGUAGCAC